GUCUGUGGCUGUACCACCUAGAAUGCACCUGGUCUUAUCUGAUCUCAGAAGCUAAGCAGGGUCAGGUCUGGUUAGUUCUUGGCUGUGAGAGUGCCUGAGAAUAUGGGGUACUGUCGACU
rnacentral:rRNA from 1 species